AAUGACCUCACAAACAGGAAUUCUCAUGUUAGUCGCCCUCUGGGCUGAAGCCUCACCACCUUAAAGGAAUCUGGAGCUGAUGACUCAAGAAAUGUCCUUCCUCCUAAGAAAUUAUCUUCCCAUCUGAGAUUAGCAGCAUCUAAUCUCAGUUUUCUCCACUGCUGACCAGCAUCAGCAACACAGCUCUAGCCCUGUUUUGGGUAUCAAAUCCAAAUCCUGUAAGCAAAAGGUCAAGGAUUCAGAAGUGAAAGGAAAGAUUGUGGCUCUAACUUUGCCAAAGUGAAAAGUACAGACCUCUGCCAUCAGUGAAGAAAGAACCCAGAUCUGAUAAGAGCUUCGAACAGGCUCAGCACCUCCUGGCACACAUAGAGCGGCAUCGCGUUGCCCCAAGAAAAUCACAUCUCUACACAUCAGACCCUUUCCAGUCCAUUUUGCCCCAUCCACAAAAUGAAAAUGCCACUUUAUUUACUAAAUCUAAAAAUUCUGUUGGGAGGCAAAGGAGAGUCGAAGAAUUUGCAAUGAAUUUAACCUGCCAGGAGAGGGAGUUUAACACCAAGCUUCCAGAAACAGGCUGUGUGGUAGCUACAACGUCCAGAAACCCAGGUUUCAACGCGGCCCUGCUUCAAGACCCAAAGGAAAUUCAGCACCAGGCGGGUGAAGUGACUUACCUGUGCACAGCUGCACUCGCAGACUUCGGAGCCCCCACCUAAUUCUAAAAUGCUGUAUGUCCAUGAACUUAAUAACAGAAGGUCAGGGGAGAGACGUUCUGAGAGCAACGGAAAUCUAUCUUAAGAUAAAGAUGUUUCUGAGGCUGAUUUUUCAAGUCAAA